GACGAACGCUGGCGGCGUGCUUAACACAUGCAAGUCGAGCGGAGCGGCGAACGGGUGCGUAACGCGUGAGUAACUGCCCCCCGCUCUGGGAUAACAGGUGGAAACGGCUGCUAAUACCGGAAAAUGGGGGAUGACUCGCGUCCUAUCAGCUUGUUGGUGGGGUAGUGGCCUACCAAGGCGACGACGGGUAGCCGGCCUGAGAGGGCGACCGGCCACAAUGGGCUGGAGUGCGGACCAAGAGCCUGCGGGAGGCAGCAGUGAGGAAGUUUGCACGACGGGAGAAGCCCUGAUGCAGCAACGCGCGUGCGCAAUGACGGCCUUCGGAAGGAAAACCGCUUUAAGCCACGACGCGGUAGUGGCAGAAGAAGCACCGUCUAACUACGUGCCAGCAGCCGCGGUAAAUC
rnacentral:rRNA from 1 species